ACCCUCGGCAUCUCUUCCUUCCAUGUCGCCACCAAGCCCAGCUUCCAUAGGUACGUCUCUCGUCCUCCAGGAUCUUGUUCCCCUCGGCUCCCCUGUGGGGGUGUGGUUCGACUGGGCACCUAAUAGGGUUCUUGGAGAGCGGCCGGUCCAUGGCACAGCGGGGCGAGCUAGGGCGGCAGCUCCCGCUGAGAGGCCCCCUCAAAGCCCUAGAGGCAGACAUCCACCACGCUAACGCCAUGGCAGAUGCUAUUCAGAGGAAUUAUGGUGGAUCAUGUGUGCAGAUGAGGCUGUCGUUCAGCUCUCUGGCUCCAUUGUUCUUGUACUUCAUCCAAUGGUUGGACUGCGGCUGCUGUUAUGCCCUUCCCAGCUAUUUAGGACUAUUUCACAUUCUCAUAUGCAAGGUUUAUGCUGAUGGAGAUAGCUCAGUGUCGACAUAUGAAAGGCGGGCAAGCCUUAGGGAAUUCUAUGGGGACUGGUUUGUGUGAUUGAAGCAAGUGCAUCUUGAAUCUCAAGAAGGUGAACUGCAGAGGGCGGAUGUUGUUGUCCAUCUCAAAAGGGGAAAGGAUACAACUAGAGACUACUCGAUUAUACAGACAUGCCCAUGCACCGGGUCUGCACUUUCCGCCCCGUGCACCAGCAAGCAUCUACACUGCAUCGGCAUCAGGCUUGGUUUCGACGAUGAGAUCUUCGUCGUGAGCAACCUCACGAACACGUCCUCCCGAUGACUUCCUUCAUUUGAGGGAGAUGGGGGUUUCUUUGGUGAAUGAUGGCCCUGUGACGAUGCAAAUCGACUCACCCUCACCGCAAGAUGCUGCUCGGUCAUGGUACAUUGAAAUAUGGAGUGCACUGUACUGUAGGUAAAUUGGUUCCAAAUCUGUGCUCCCAGGUUAGUGGGCUCCUCUGCAUUCAGUUAGUGGUUUUCAUGUUCUUGGACGUUGUUCUAAUAUUGAAAUGUCCUUGGUUUAGACAGUGAUGACUCGUUGCAUCCAAUGUACAAGGUGAUGUUUUUUUUACUUCUUGAUAAAUAUCUAUUAUUACCAUUUCAGAUAUUUUUCAGGCCAAUCAUGUUUCUGUGUAUCUUGUAAUGGCUUCAUUCUUCAAGCAUUUUACCUUAUCAAUCCAUUCCUCGUUCUGCUGGUUUGUUAAAUUGUGUUGGUUUCAUGUGCUAUCUGGAAAAUGGUUCUCUACUUGUGCAAGCUCUGUACCAUGGUUGAUAUGUGAUGCUAUUUUAUUAUCAAAUUGCAGGUGUGUCAGGCUUUCUACUAAGGCUGUUGGAGUUCAAGAUUAUUAUGGCUUGCUAAAAAGUAUAUUACUGUGGUAUGAUGGCCUCUGUCUGGUUUAGUAAUCUUUAUGUCAACUUCUGCAACAUAACAAUCGGGCCCAAGAAGCUGCUGAACAGGCAACACUUGCUCCUUCGAUUGGGUCAUCCAUCGAGGCAGCUACUGGCGUUGUGUAUAAUAUUACUCUGGUGGGAAGGACAUCACUUUGCAAGAAGUGAACAAGGUGUCCCAGAUUGUGACAAGCCUAUCUAACCCAUAUGUGAACAUAAUUUUUGGUGUCGUCGUUGAUGACCGUUACACUGGUGAGAUACAUGUGACAAUCAUUGCGACAGGAUUUCCACAGUCCUUCCAGAAAUCCCUUUUGGCGGAUCCAAAGGGAGCACGUAUAGUGGAAUCCAAAGAGAAAGCAGCAACCCUCGCCCAUAAAGCAGCAGCUGCUGCAGUUCAACCGGUCCUUGCUUCUGCUUGGUCUCGAAGACUCUUCUAUUAUCUAUUAUUCAUGGGUUUGUUGUUCACAUGAAUCACAUAUAGCUAUGACCUUUGCUGCAUUUAGGUUGGUGCUAUGCUCCAAGAAUUAGAAAAGGAGAUUGAUGAUGUGGAUGCACAAAUUCGAAAUCUUUGACAACUGCUUGAUAAGAAUAUUUUGCAUUUUCCGCUGAAAUGUUUCUUACAGUGUUUAUAUCUGCCUGCGCAAUUGCACCUAGCAGUUGAGGAGUGCCUCUUUGGCUCUUUUCGCAUGGCUUGGCAAGAUUAUACUAGAGACUUGUAUUUCUCAGAUCCAUAUUUGGCUUAGGUCUAGCAUGCCAAAUGGACAGCCAAAAUGGCUUCUUUGUUUCAUACCAAAUUAUCCUAUGCUUAUCUUCAUGCUUACUAUAGCGAUCUAUCUUCUUGCGUGGAAGGAGUCGAACUGGGGAACAAGAGAGAAGGACCCCGCUAGCCCCAUCCUUGGUGGGAGGAAGAAGCUAGCACCACCAUUGCAGCAGGAGGAGGUGGUGGAUCCAAGCCUACGCGACGGGUUCAGAGCGAAGGCGCUCCUCGGUAGACAAGACACCAGCAUCACUGAUACCUGCUCCCUGUCCUGACGGUAACAGCCAUGUCCAGCCACUUUCUUGUCAAAUGCAUCCAUCUCUUUUGCUUUAGCAAUUAGCAUGGGCCCUUCUCAAUUUUUGAUGGAGCAGUUGGCGUUUGGGAAUAGCACCAAUGAUUAUUAUCUUUCCUAGAGCAAAUUGGCAGUUGAUAGCCUUGAGAUUUCAGCGUUACUAAGACAUUAAUUAGUGUAAUCUAGAUGGAAACUUUCCUUGCAUUAUUUUUCAGCUGUAACUUACCACAAGAUUAAGUGGUUUUGGGAUUAUUUAUUUCUCAAGACCAGUUUAUUAAUUAGUUUCAUUAUAUUCUUAUCAACAUGCUCUCUCUCAUGAGACAUUGAUUAGUGUAUUAUGUAUUCUGGAUGAUGUGUGUUGUGCCAUACCAUGUAUUUGUUCUGAAGAACAGUUAAUUCAUUAGCUAUUUGGGCUAUUAUUUCUAGAAUAUGGUUGCUUAGAUCUUCCAACUUAUAGUGUGUUUGUAGCUUCUGUAGAAAUAUAUUCAAUGUGUGUUCACAUAUUUUUAGAGAUUUGGACACCUUACAAAGGGUAAGGAUUACGAGGAUCCACCAGACUCUGCAUCGGCGUGCCCGCGGGCUAGAUGGCCAUCAAGGAGACACUACUGAUGGAGGCGCCAUCUUUGGUAGCUGAGGACAAAUUAGAGUUUGUCUUCCGGUGCAGUUUAUACCUUUUCCAAAUUUACUGCAUCACCGUUUAUUGCUUUUCAACAUGUGAGAUUGUGAUUGCAGUGUUAAACUAUUCAUAUUCUGCUUGCUUUUUGCAUAUUGCAUCACCGUCCUUUUUUUGGAGUGACUGCAUUCUAUGGAUAUUUAGGAUCAUCAUGAUCUCAUAUUUGGAGAGUUCUAAUUUCAUAUUUGAGUAGGAAUUUUGGAUCGAGAAUAACAAGGGAGGUUUAUGGAGAGAGUAUCGAACACAGAGAGAGAUGAUCGGAGGUACUGGAGCCACCUAUCCACAAGGUACUUUGUUUUUGUUUUCAUUUUUCCGUAGUAAAUGUACUCAUUAGAAGGAGCGAGAUGGUCUAACUAAAAACAGUUAUUUGAGUAGGAAUUUUCUUAUGUUCUUCAACAAGACAAUAAUCUGAUCUUAUACUCGUUAUUAUUUUUCGGUGAACAUUUAAUGUAUUUCUUUUGUUAAUGAAUUGGUUGUUGGUACAUAACUAAAGUGCCAUGUUUAUAUUUUAGAUUUCACGUUGUUGUCUAUCUUAAGCAGAUUUGGUGACUAGAGGUAGGUUGGAGAUUGAUUUCUGCUUUCCUGCUGGUUCAUACAACCUAUUCUUCUGACUCCAUUUGGGUCGAUCGCAUAAGCUGAUGGGCCACAAAGGAUGUUGUUUUGAGAAUAUCCAUGGUUGGGACAUCAAAUGGACACAGUUGGGACAUCAAGUUUAGACGAGGUGACGAAACUCAAGCUCUCUAUGAUGCAGUUUGAUCGUACGCAUACAAAAGACACAUUGUGUGUUGAUUCAAUCCGUAUAUACCCAAACAUCACGGAUAUGAGGAUUGAGAGAAUCGACCAAGUAUUAAGAGUGUAGUCAAAUAAUUAUUAUAUUCCUAAUAUGUUAUCGUCUUUAUUUUAAAUGU